GAUGAAGAACGUAGCGAAAUGCGAUAAGUAAUGUGAAUUGCAGAAUUCAGUGAAUCAUCGAAUCUUUGAACGCACAUUGCGCCCCUUGGUAUUCCGAGGGGCAUGCCUGUUCGAGCGUCAUUAUAACCCUCAAGCUCAGCUUGGUGUUGGGGCCUGCUGCACUGGCAGCCCUUAAAAUCAGUGGCGGCGCCAUCUGGCUCUAAGCGUAGUAAUUCUUCUCGCUAUGGAGUCCUGGUGGAUGCUUGCCAUCAACCCCCAAUUUUUCUAUGGUUGACCUCGAAUCAGGUAGGGAUACUCGCUGAACUUAAGCAUAUCAAUAAGCGGAGGA
rnacentral:misc_RNA from 1 species